CCUGGGUCAACUUGACAUCCGCAUCUUAUCCAAGCACCCAAAGGUGCAAAUACAGGAGUACGUCCUCAUAAAGGAAACUUCCCCAAUACUAAAUAAGAAAUAUGCAUAGUAGAUAUCAUACCCGCAUACCCACAGUUUACACAGGUAGAGUAGAAUAGUUAAUGGGCUGUUAUGUAGAUAGAUGUAUGUAUGUGUGGGUGUAUGUAUAUAUGUAUGUAUAUGCACAUGUAUGUAAGUAUAUGGAUAUGAAAGUAAACAGAUCAACAGACGGAUAGGAACAUAGGUUAUAUGAACAGACAAACACACAUACACAAAUGAAGACUGUAACACAUGACCAUAUAUACACACACACUUUACUUCACACAAGGACACAUUUGGAGACACGUCCACAUAUAUGGAGAUGCACAUUCAUACAUACAAACACAGUACAUAAUUGCAAAACACACACAUACACUCAGACAAGGAGAUAGAGGUACACACACAAACACACAUGCAAACACACACACAUGCACACACAUACAUAAAAACACACAAACACAGACACGCAAACACAUGAAUAUGCAGAAUACAUACAUACAAAUGCACACACAUAC